GUAGGUGGCAAGCGUUGUCCGGAAUUAUUGGGCGUAAAGCGCGCGCAGGCGGUUCUUUAAGUCUGAUGUGAAAGCCCACGGCUCAACCGUGGAGGGUCAUUGGAAACUGGAGAACUUGAGUACAGAAGAGGAAAGCGGAAUUCCACGUGUAGCGGUGAAAUGCGUAGAGAUGUGGAGGAACACCAGUGGCGAAGGCGGCUUUCUGGUCUGUAACUGACGCUGAGGCGCGAAAGCGCGGGGAGCAAGCAGGAUUAGAUACCCUGGUAGUCCACGCCGUAAACGAUGAGUGCUAAGUGUUAGGGGGUUUCCGCCCCCCUUAGUGCUGCAGCUAACGCAUUAAGCACUCCGCCUGGGAGUACGGCCGCAAGGCUG
rnacentral:rRNA from 1 species